CCUACGGGAGGCAGCAGUGAGGAAUAUUGGUCAAUGGACGCAAGUCUGAACCAGCCAUGCCGCGUGCAGGAAGACGGCUCUAUGAGUUGUAAACUGCUUUUGUACGAGGGUAAACGCAGAUACGUGUAUCUGUCUGAAAGUAUCGUACGAAUACGGAUCGGCGAACUCCGUGCCAGCAGCAGCGGUAAUACGGAGGAGUCAAGCGUUAUCCGGAUUUAUUGGGUUUAAAGGGUGCGUAGGCGGUAGGAUAAGUUAGAGGUGAAAUCCCGAGGCUCAACUUCGGAAUUGCCUCUGAUACUGUGCGGCUAGAGAGUAGUAGCGGUAGGCGGAAUGUAUGGUGUAGCGGUGAAAUGCUUAGAGAUCAUACAGAACACCGAUUGCGAAGGCAGCUUACCAAGCUACUUCUGACGUUGAGGCACGAAAGCGUGGGGAGCAAACAGGAUUAGAUACCCUAGUAGUC
rnacentral:rRNA from 1 species